AUUACAAGCAAUACAAUAUUUACAAUAAUAAUCUGGUUUCAAUAUAUUUUUGUCAGGUCACAAAACUGCUUUAUAUCCAAUCUCAACUGUAAAAGAAAAUUCAACCUCACAGUUUUCAUCAAGAUUUAAAGAAACUAACAAAAAUGAUGAAAUGGUAAUAGUCAAAAUUAUACUACUGACGACCUCCAUAGGGAUUGUUGUUCUUACUAUAAUAAGAUUAUGCUAUCAGAAGAUCAGCAAUUAUAAAUACCGAAAAACUAUUGACAGUUAAAAAAAUAUCUCCAGUUAUAAUUAUAGGAGAUACAAUGUAGCAAGAUUCUAGAAGAUAAUUGUUGAAAGAUGUUUCUUAUGUUUUAUCAUAAGUUCAUUGUUUAAACAUUUGCAAAACUUUGUGUAUCUCUGUAUUUUGAAUAAUUGAAAAUGACAUCAAGAAUGAUAGUAUGUUCACUAGUUUGAUACUAGUCAAUAUUUAUUUUUAAAUAAACGAACGCCAGUGUAUACAAAGAGCGAAUCCAGAUAGUUCAUUUUCACUGUCAUACGCGAGUAUUACUAUUGUAGA